rnacentral:rRNA from 1 species
UACAGGGGGGGCAAGCGUUGUUCGGAAUUACUGGGCGUAAAGGGUCUGUAGGUGGCCAACUAAGUCAGACGUGAAAUCCCUCAGCUUAACUGGGGAACUGCGUCUGAUACUGGAUGGCUUGAGUGCAGGAGAGGAAUGCGGAAUUCCAGGUGUAGCGGUGAAAUGCGUAGAUAUCUGGAGGAACACCGGUGGUGUAAACGGCUUUCUGGACCAUAACUGACGCUGAGGCACGAAAGCGUGGGUAGCAAACAGG